UACGGAGGGUGCAAGCGUUAUCCGGAUUCACUGGGUUUAAAGGGUGCGUAGGCGGGUUGGUAAGUCCGUGGUGAAAUCCCCAAGCUUAACUUGGGAACUGCCGUGGAUACUAUCAAUCUUGAAUAUCGUGGAGGUAAGCGGAAUAUGUCAUGUAGCGGUGAAAUGCUUAGAUAUGACAUAGAACACCAAUUGCGUAGGCAGCUUACUACGCGAUCAUUGACGCUGAGGCACGAAAGCGUGGGGAGCAAACAGG
rnacentral:rRNA from 1 species